UCCGGGUAUCAAGUUGAUAAGUAAUCGUGUGUCUCUCAUUUUGUUAUCUCGUUAUGCUCAAGUUGAUUUUUGGCGAUGCAAAUCAUGGAAGUUUUGAGGUAAUUGGUGGGGUGUUGUAGUUUUGUGGAUGAUUAGGUAAUGGGAUUUUGUGUGUUAUUGUUGUCGUGCGCAAGCUGAUUUGCUGCGAUGCAAAUGGAUGGGUUGUGGAAGUUUUGGUGUGAUUAUUGGGUUAUUAUUGAUCUGGAGUUGGUAAGUAACGGGAUGCUUCGCACUUUUUCGCACUAUUUAGUCAGGUGCAGGCUGAUCUUCAGCUUUGUAAAUGAUUCAGUAUUUUUCCUGCCAAAGAGGACUAUGUAUGCUUCGUUGCUGAUUGUAGAACAGAAGCAACAGAUAUGCAUCAGAUUAACCAAGUCCUCGUUAGUGUUAAUGAGGAUGUCUAGGAGUACGGCAUAUGAAGUGAUUGCAGGACUGCAAACAGUUCUGCAUGGCUCAUAGCUAAUGAGGCUUCGAAUUGCAGACCCAGAUGUUUCAUCAAUAACAACCAUUUUCUGAAUUUUAUAUCCAAGAUUCUACCUGACCCCCUCCUCCUGGAUUUGAUGCUGGCAUCUACAAGAUGUGUGGCAGAAGGAGUAACAAGCUGCCCUUGGUAAAAAACUUUCUUCUUCCAUUUCUUCAGCGCAGUCAAUUAACCAGGUUCUUUAAGAGGUCUAGCAAGUGCUUUUUUCCUCGGCUAGGUAGAUCUUCUGGGAGUGGAUGGUACGAAGAUAUGUGGGGUUAGAGAUGAAGGGUACAAGGUUGAUUAUAAAAAUUAUAUAAAAAUGGUCGGCUAGCCAUUUCCUUUCAAUAUAAAAAUUAUAUAUUUUUUUUUCAUACGAGAAUAUGUUUAUAAACAUGGUCCCCUGAACUAUUGAUUGAAAUGUAAUUAAUCCUUGAAUAAAUUAUUGAACGCAAUUAGUUCUUAAACAAA